GUGAAGUGACGAGGAAAUUCAUGGUCUGUCAAUCCACUGAUUGUUUGUGAUGUUAUUCGUGAAUCCCGACAGGUUCUGAUCAC